UCCUACGGUACAAAGAUUGAAGCUGUCGCCAAAAGAAUCUUGUGGAUAAUAUCUACUGAAAAAGAGGCCAAAAUUCUUGUCUUUUCCAGCUGGAACGAUGUCCUUGGUUUGUUGGAGCAUGCUUUGGUUGCUAAUGGUGUCAUGUUUGUCCGGAUGAAAGGAGGCAGGAAAUCACAAGUGGCGCUUGCCCAAUUCAAAGGAGACAUAAGUGUUGCUAACAGUGGCAAAACAAAAAGAAUGCCUUCCAGUGAGAAGUCCAUUCAAAGCCCUCUUGAUGCUAAUCCAGCAUGGAGCAAAUGGUCUCAAUCUUUUGGAAGCACAGCAUGUCAUUUUAGUGGAGCCAUUGCUCAACCUUGCAGCGGAAGCACAAGCCAUAAACCGGAUCCAUAGAGUUGGACAGGGCAAGAAAACAUUUAUACACCGCUUCAUC